ensembl:lncRNA
AGACGCGAGCGGUUGGGAGCCAGGAGACGCCUACCCCCCAGCCAAGAGACGCUUAGUCCCCAUCGCAGGAUGACACGGCGUUGGAGGGGCCGACCGAAUCGAGUCCUGCAACUACAGACUGCAGGUCGGCCGAGGUUCUGCGCCGUGGGACCUUCUCCUCCUUCAGGCCCACGACACCCGGAGACGAUGUGACCGGUCGUCUGUUGGCAGGUGACCAGCCAAAAGUCACUGUCCGACUUCUGUAAUGAAACCACUCCGGGGCCGACAGUGACCAGAGGGGUCGCGACAUCAGAGCAAUAUUUCAUCUGCACCAUUCAAACAUCUACAAUUUUCUAAACACUGACAUGUCACAAAAUUCAUUUAAAAAUGUCCAAUAGUACAGUUUAUUUUUCACAAUAUAACAUCUCUCUCUCUCUGUCUGUCUCUCUCUCAGCAGCGUGUCCUCCCCCCUCUCCUCCCUAAUCCAUUCAUCACUUACAGUAGGAAGCAGCCUGCCACUGCUUCACAUCAGUAGUGGGAACAGUCGACGCAGAGAAAGAAGAGAAAGAAUGUAAUCAUCAGGCUUCUUCACGUCUUCGACAACAGCAGUGCUGAGCAGCCAUUUUUGUUUGUUCAGACCUUCAGUGUCGGGGGGUCGGCUGAGGAGGCAGAGGUCAGAGGUCAGGCCUAAAGAAAACUCCCCUGACCUCCUGAAUGGAUUCUGCUGCAGUCAGACACAACGUUUGUUGUCCCUGCAGCCGGAUCAGCGUCGACCUCCACACCCCCUUUAAAUCUGCCCCUCUCACUUUAAUGGGCCCUGAAACCCUGGAGUCACCUGACGACUGAUGACUCUCUCCUCGUGUCCGUGGGUUCGAUGCCACACCUGUAACCCGGUGGAGAUCAGUUCGACCAUGCAGCCUCAGAGUCUGGCCUCAGGAGGAGAAGAAAGAGGAGAGGGAGAAAGAAGGAGUUUCCCCCCGUCGGUGAUGAAAACCUCACAUCUCCACGGUGAAAAGUACAAAGUGCACUUUCUGGCCCAGGGGCCUCGCGGGGGGGUUUUCAGCGGGUCUGACGGGGUCACAGGACUCAGACGACCGGGUCGACUCUCGGCUCAGGUGGUUGUGAAUCCACACGUCGGUGCCAGUGUCACUGCGUGGGCGAGAUGCAGGAGUGUGUCACGGGACCCUGGGGGCCCGACAUCAAACCAAAUCCAACCCAACGCACAUACACUGUACAUGAGUGUGAUAAGAACUACCUAAAAUUACAGAAACCAUCUUCGGAAACAUUUAUUCAACGUCUACUUUGAUUUUUGCUAACAUGGACUUAUGACCUGUACCGCAGCCAGACACCAGGGGGCGAUCAUGAUGAUUUGGCUUCACUUCAGAGGAGCCGUCGUGUCGUCCAUCUUUAUUUUCAGUCAUGUUCAAUUGGUUUUUACGUGUAAACUAGAAACGACACGAAACAGGCUUCAUAUGUUUGGUGUCGAGAUGAUUCUUGACCCUCUAAUCAUUUGGUUGCAUCUUGACACCCGUAGCUAAUUGGCUCCACUGCUAAAAACAAGCCAGUCUAUGCUAAAAAAUUAGCGUAAAAAGCGGCUGAAAACUGGUUCAAAAUGUUGAUGUAUGACAGACAAACACGACAAUGACGCUUCUGGUUUAAAAAUUGUCUUUCCACUUUAAAAUGUAAUUUAUAUGAUUGUAUUUUUAAGAUUAAAAAAAAUGAUUACGAGGUGUUUCAACACCCGAGGAGGUUAAAACGCGGCGUGUUUUUACAGUGCACCCCCAGUGGUCAGUCGGCGCUGGAGGUGGCUGUUUUUUCUCGGCGCGCUCGGCGGGAGCGGAUCUGAGCGCUGAACCGAAGCAAAGCAGAGUAAUUGUCUCUUUCCUCCUUAACAGGAUUAGAGCCCAGCGGUGUGGCGGGUUCAGCCCUCCAGUCAACCGUGUGGCUGGAGGCCGCCCCGAGGCUGCCAGCUGGACGGCCGCUAACGUUAGCCCGGGUCGCUGAGCUUCUCCGGGGUCCGCGAGUCUGGAUGAGAGAAAAUGAAAGGGAGGACGCAGGGGGAAAAUCUGGGGUGUCGAAAUAAAAACAAGUCCGUUUCUAUAUAGAGAGUUCGAGGAGGUUGUUGUAGUAAAAAUGACUAAAUAUGUCUUGUGAUAACAAUGAGCAUUAUGACGUAAUGAAUCACUUCCUGGUAGAGGAACCUCCCGCUUCCUCCUUCCAUAGCCGUCGUCCAUCCAAGGGAAAACCAUACGUGGUCGACCCAUUGUGGCAUCUGGACCAAGGUUUCAGAGAAUCGACCUUAUCUUAUCUCAUCUUACCUGCCGGUGACGAGCAGCAGCUUCCAUCUCCAAGUCACCAGGACGCGGAACAGUCUCGGAAUCCUGUCCCCUUCCCCCCCGACACCCAAACGAACGUACCACUUCCCUCCCUCGGUGGACUGAUGAGGUCAUUUUUUACCCCCAACAAGGACGUUAUGAUUUCGUGAAAACCGACUUCUUCUACUACAGACUUUGACAGAACUUGGCCGAGAAAGAAUCCUGCAACGUCCUGAAAUGUUGUCCUGGGUCCGGACAACGGGGCCAUGGAGCCGCGAAUCCAGGAAGUUCUCUGGGGAAGAAACUUGAACUUGGAGCGAGCUGAGCACCUCAACAUUUAGUGGAACGCUUUAUUGAACAUAGUGUUUAUUUCUGCGUCAUUAAUCUUUCCGCCGCACCUGGAGACACGGACUCCAGCGGCUCGACCUUGAAGCUCUCCGUGAAUUGCCCUUGACUUUCUACCCGGGCGUUCCUCCUUUUGCCCUCAAGGCUGCGCUGGCAAGUGAGACCAGGACAUGAUUUCCUCCACCAAGAAGGGGAUGAUGAUGAUGUCAUCCCCGUCUACUUGUUUGUUUGCAGGAUGAAACUACCGCAUGGAUUUCCAACGAACCUCGGUGGAAGGAUGGAACGAGUACCAAGAGCAACACCUGGAAGUGGAUGGGGACAGCUGAGCAGAUCAGGAAGGUUUCCUCUUUCUAUACCAUGGCGACAUAAGGCGUCGGCCUCGCUGGAGAUGAAUUCUCCUUCUGGUCGAACUAUGUCGUUUAUUGAAAGCGCCCGGUUUCUUUUCCGCCAGGCGUCUUUGUGCUCCGUCGGCCCGAGGGGAGUUGGAGUUUGUCUCUGAACGGACACAGAAGAAAAGCUCCGGAGCGCGAGCGACUCACAAAAAGCUUCAGCGACGUUUAAAACAAUGACACGGAGCCACUCGGUGUCCGAUCGGAUCGGCUGCAGGUUCCCUGUGGACACGCAGGGGGCGGUCCAUUCAUCCGUGCGCUCAUUCUGCACAUGCAUCACGGUCCAUCAGUGAGUUAUUGUGCGUGUGACUCGCUGUAUAUUCUCUUUCUCCCGCUCUCCCUCUUCCCACGGCCGCUGUGAACCUGAUCUGAUCAUCACGGCACGUCGCUGUAACUGCUCUGAUUAGACAAACUGAAGGUUAAUGUGCGGCGACACGACUACUGCGAGACGGUUACGUCGAGAGAGAGAGAGAGAGAGAGAGAGAGAAACGGCCUCAGGUACCCAACCAUCGACUCACACGGGGUGUGUGUGUGUGUGUGUGGUGCCUUUCCACCUCUGUGAGGACCAGCUUCAGGCUUAUCGAUGACAGUGGGGACAUUUUUGGAGCGCGAGGACGUGAGGGCAAGUUUGAGAACAUUCUGGAAAGGGAGGAAAAGAGCGAGGACAUUUAUUUUCAAGUGAGGAAAGUUUUCAAAGUUAAUCCAUUUUGUUGAGCAGGACAUUUUUAUAAAAGUGGAGAUAUGUUUGAGGACAUUUUUAGGAAUGUUAAAAAACCCUGUUUAGGACAUUUUGGUUUGGUGAAGACUUUUAAUGAAGAGCGAGGACAUCGCUAUGAAAGGACACAUGUCGCCAAGUGAAGACUUUUUUUACAAAGGCGGUGCAAGUUUUCAAGAAGUGAGGACAUUGAGACGUGUAGAGUGUGAGGAUACAUCGGAAACUCAAGUGAGGAUACUCUUGAAAGUAAUAUUUGCACAUUUUCUGAAAAGUUUUGGAAAGUGAAGACCUGCAAGUCUGGUCAUCACUCUGUCCUUCGUCAGGAUGGGUCCUCACAAGUGUAGAAGAAUGAAAUGCAUGCAUACGGUACAGACUGCAUGUCUCAGUGUUUUACAGUAGACAAACACACACACACACACACACACACACACACACACACAGGGUUUCACUCGACAGAUGUUAAACGUUGUAGAGCUCACACUGUUCCUCCUCUCACCUGUGUGUAACCCCCAAACCACCACACACACACACACACACACACACACACACACACACUAAUGACCCUAAUUACAAGCAAUUACUCAACAUAUCUUGUGCUGCCGCCCUCCGGCUGUGUGUGAAGCGCGUUGCUUCAGAGGAAGGUACAAUAGAGUACAGUGACCCGGCUACAGAUACACCUGGGCCCCGUUCCAGGAACAGGCUCCGCAAGAAGCUCUUGAGUCCGUUAACCUCUGACUUUUAACGCCGAGCCGGUUACCGCGGUUACUUAGCUUCGCGAGUGAGCUUCAGGGGUUAGCCUCACAGUUUAGCUUUCACACGGUGAGAAUUCUGCGCUUGCAGAGGCGUCAAACACGGGGAAGACGAAGCAGGUAAGUGCCUGGUGAGGGCCCCGAGAUGAGAGCGGGGCCCCCGAGAUGAGAGCGGGGCCCCCGAGAUGAGAGCAUGGCCCCCGAGAAGAGAGCGGGGCCCCCGAGAUGAGAUGAGAGGGGCCCCGGGGUGAGCGUGGCCCCGAGAUGAGCGGGCCCCCAAGAUGAGCGGGGCCCCGAGAUGAGAGCGUGGCCCCGAGAAGCGGGGCCCCGAGAUGAGAUGAGCGGGGCCCCCGAGGAGAGAGCGGGCCCCCAAGAUGAGAGCGUGGCCCCCGAGCUGAGAGCGAGGCCCCCGAGCUGUGAGCGGGGCCCCCGAAAUGAGAGCGGGCCCCCCCCUCGAGAUGAGAGCGGGGCCCCCGAGAUGAGAGCGUGGCCCCCCCCUCGAGAUGAG